rnacentral:rRNA from 1 species
AACGAACGCUGGCGGCAUGCCUAACACAUGCAAGUCGAACGAGACCUUCGGGUCUAGUGGCGCACGGGUGCGUAACGCGUGGGAAUCUGCCCUUGGGUUCGGAAUAACAGUUAGAAAUGACUGCUAAUACCGGAUAAUGUCUUCGGACCAAAGAUUUAUCGCCCAGGGAUGAGCCCGCGUAGGAUUAGCUAGUUGGUGAGGUAAAGGCUCACCAAGGCGACGAUCCUUAGCUGGUCUGAGAGGAUGAUCAGCCACACUGGGACUGAGACACGGCCCAGACUCCUACGGGAGGCAGCAGUGGGGAAUAUUGGGACAAUGGGCGAAAGCCUGAUCCAGCAAUGCCGCGUGAGUGAUGAAGGCCUUAGGGUUGUAAAGCUCUUUUACCCGGGAUGAUAAU